AACGAACGCUGGCGGCAGGCUUAACACAUGCAAGUCGAACGCAUCGCAAGAUGAGUGGCAGACGGGUGAGUAACGCGUGGGAAUCUACCUAGUUCUACGGAACAACAGUUGGAAACGACUGCUAAUACCGUAUACGCCCUAAGGGGGAAAGAUUUAUCGGAAUUAGAUGAGCCCGCGUAAGAUUAGCUAGUUGGUGGGGUAAUGGCCUACCAAGGCGACGAUCUUUAGCUGGUCUGAGAGGAUGAUCAGCCACACUGGGACUGAGACACGGCCCAGACUCCUACGGGAGGCAGCAGUGGGGAAUAUUGGACAAUGGGCGCAAGCCUGAUCCAGCCAUGCCGCGUGAGUGAUGAAGGCCUUAGGGUUGUAAAGCUCUUUCACCGAUGAAGAUAAUGACGGUAGUCGGAGAAGAAGCCCCGGCUAACUUCGUGCCAGCCGCCGCCGUAAGAC
rnacentral:rRNA from 1 species